CUAAUUUCUAAUUUUCUAAUUAUUAAAAAAUUUCUAUUUCUAAUUUUCUAAUUAUUUCUUUGACGGACCUCAAUUUCAUUUGAGAAUCAUUAUGGAGCUAAAAGAUAAGAGGAUUAUUUGAGACAAGAAGAAUUGGACUUAACUUACAAUGAAAAUAAGCAGACACUUCAAAUAGCUAUCUAAAGGCUAACUCUAUUUAUAAUAUACAACUCUUCUGUAGAGCACUGGGGUUCCAAAGAAUACACUUUGAGGAACUGAUAUUUAGGCAGAAAGAAGAGCUAUGCCAUAGCGUGAUGGUAGGUUAAAUAAAAGGGUAGGUUAAAUUAAGCAAAGAUGGUUGGGCUAUUGUGCACUGGAGUUUAUGUUAGGUGUUAGGAAUAGAAAAACCCAAGUCCUUACCCCCCAAACCAAUAACAACAUUCUUGUAAACAAUGGAGGGAUGUACAGUAUAGGCUGGGGCAGAAGAGGAGUCCCAUAUGUGCUUAAAAGAGACUGGGAAGGCCUAACAGCAAAGAUGACAUUUGACUAGGAGUUUUCCAUACAGAUAGAGUAAAAGCAGCAGAGGGAAUAGGAAAAGGUUACAGAGGAAUGACAGAGUGUAAUGUGUGUUGGAAACCACAAGUAUUUCUGUGCUGCUACAGGGUAAAAUGCAAAGCAGAAUUAGAGGAAAAGGCAAAAACAUGGUUUGAUGUAAGCAGGGAGUUUCUAAACUGUGUAAAGAUUUUUAUCUGGUAGAUCAUGGAAACAUGAAUAACUUUGAAUAUGGAAUGACAAGAUUAGAUUUGCUAAAAUUCAGAGAACAGUGAAAGGGAAGAUGGGUGAAUUGUCAAGAUUUGGGAGAAUUAUAAGCAGAAAUUUAGUAAGGAAGUUGAGCAGAGAGAAUGAAAGUCAAAUUUGAAUAGCGAUAAGUUAAAAGGAGAAAAUGAAUUCAGGAGAAUUUUAGUAUUUCAAAACAAAAUAGUUUAUUCCCACAGAGAUUAGAAUAUGGUGUAGCUAGUAGAUGGUGAUACAGGCAAAUGAGAGAAGAAAAAGCCAAGAAUAUGAGCAAAACGAUGAAAAGAGAAGCCUUCAAAGGUAGUGAAAAUAUGGGUAGAGGCAGACAGAUAUUAAAAGAAGAGAGAAUAUGGAGAAGAAAAUGGAGGGGGAUCAAAUGACAAAGGUUGCAAUAAUAUAAUAGAUGAUUUUAUAAAUUAUUUGGCAAAUUUUAUAAUUUUCUACUUUGUAUUAUUCAUCUAAUUCUUAUGGGUAUGUCUUAGAUUCACGUAAUGUCCUAUAUAGCUUUUCUUAUAUUACCAUUAAUAAAUAUUUGCUAAAUGAAAAGAAGGGAAAAGAAAAAAUAGUUUGUGGAUGGUUUUGCCAUUAUAUUUAGAUUGAAUUGAACAAAAGUAAUCUGGUGUCUGUAGAUUCAAUACGAAGAGCCACUUUUCCUCCGAUGGCUGUUUCAACAGAUCCUGUCCUAAUUAGCUUCAUAUCUAACUGGUACCCUUUGGUAUCUGAAUCAAAACAGAUACUUGUCAGCCACUCCACUUCUCCCCACCCGGAGAGAUGAACAUAGGAAGACUGUAGGAUGUAAUGUUAAAAGCCCUGGAGCUUUACUACCUGGGUUUCAGUUCAAAUUCUCUACUUCGUGACCUUAGGCAAGUUACUAAGACUUAGUUUCCUCAUGUGAAAAUAGGGAAAAUGAUUAUUUCUCACAAUAUUGUUUAAGGAUGAAAUGAGUUCAUGUGAUGACCUUAUAGCAGCCCUGAUCUAUAAAGCCUAAGAGGUAUUUGUUUGGUUAUUGUUGUUGUUGUUGUUGUUGUUGUUGUUAGGAGGAGGAAGUGGAGGAGGAGCAGCAGCAGCAAGGGCAGCAGCAGCAAUAGUACUGUUAGUAUUUUUAAACAUAGAUUCAGAAAGCGCAUAUUAAUCAUCAGCAAUCUGGGAUUGAAACUUUGUUAGGGCUCAUGAUCUCACAUCCAAUUGAAAUCUUGAAAUCAGUUCUGAUAAACUCUGCCUUCCAUUAACCAGAUUGCAUUAAUUCACUGUCCUUCUUUAUUUGCUUACAAACUUUUGCAGUGUUCUUCCUGUGGUAGGCAGAAUAACGGUCCCCACAAAAUAUCCAUAUUUUAAUUCCCCAAACCUGUGGAUAUGUUAGGUUACAUGCAAAGGGGAAUUAAGUUUGCAAAUGGUAACAUUGCUAAUCAGCUGCCUUUAUUUAGGUGGGCCCAAUGUAAUCACAUGGGUCUUUAAAAAUCAAAGAGGAAAGCAGAAGAAUCAGAGGGAGAUGUGACCAGAAAAAAUGGUCAGAGAUGCAGUGUUAAUGGAAUGGAAUAUGUUCAGUGUUUGGAAUGGAAAAGACAAAAGACUAAGAUUCCCCCCCAGAGCUUCCAGAAAGGAAUGUAACUCUGCCUACGCUUUGAUUUUAGCCAAGUGAGACCAGUGUUAGACUCCUGACCUACAGAACUGUAAGGUGAAAAAUUUGUGUUGUAAACCAUUGAGUCUGUGGUAAUUUGUUACAGCAGCAGAAGAAAACUAAUUGUGAUUUAAUGAAAAAUAUGUAUUUGGUCUUUGUCUCUCUGGUUCCUGGCACAGAGCUCAUGUAAUCCUUGGAAUUUCCUGAGUUAUAGGGUAAGAGAAGUGUCUUUUAUUUAUAAUAAGCCCCUUUCAACCAUAUCUGCAAUUAUGUUAAUGAGGUGUCUCUUGGCGAUGGGGGCUGGUUACCAGAGAAACCAACCAUGUGAUUAGAGAGUUAGAACUUUUAGCCCCACCUCUCCCAACCCCCAACAUCCAGGAUGGAGAGAAGGGUGGGGAAUUGGCUUAAUCAUCAAUGGCCAGUGAUUUAAUCAAUCAUGCCUAUUUAACGAAGACUCCAUUAAAAACUAACCAAAGUGGUUCUGAGAGCUUACAGGUUGGUGAACACAUAGAAAGUUGGAAUACUCAGAGAAGGUUUGAUGAAGAGUAGACAGUCAUGGAGAAAUAUGAUAAGACAAAGAGUAUAAGGCCAAUGAUACACAGAACUGCAUCAAUUGACUUGAAGUAACAUGAUGUGAAAGGAAAGAUGUUGUACAGGACAGGAGAAAUGGAUUCAAGCUCAGGAUCUACCACCAAAGAGCUUGGGCAAAUCAACCAAUAUCUUUGAAUCUUAAUUUCUUUAUCACAAAA